UCUUCUUCUUCUUGGUUACUGCUCAACUGGAGCUCAGGGAUUAAUAUUCUUCCAUGCGCUGGAUUUGAAGCUGAUGGUUUCAGAGGGGAUAGCAGGGGAACCAGAUACUUUUGUCCGGUUGUCUGCGCAAUCUCCUUUUACAUGCAAAAUUGUGACCUUUUUUUUAUCUUGCUCUUAACUAUCGUCUCCAAAAUAACCCUCCUGACCAAGUUCAUCACGCUAUCAGCUCAGCAAAGCACCUCUGCAUGCCACUCUUUUCCAUACUUGAGGUGAUUGACUAGAUAUUUAACUUAGGCAUGCUUUAUGAUACUUUUGUGGUCUGCUGGAAGUUAAACUUAGUACUAUGUCCCUGGUGUCUGAACUUGUGUUAGGCUAUAUUCUGCUACUAUUUGCUUCUGCCUCAGGUCUAUGCUUCUGGAUCGAUAUAUGCUCUAUGUCUGCUUCUAAAGUUGUAAAACAUCGUACUGGAGAUUCCCGUUAAUAUGCUAAUGGAAAUGGGGUAUCCUCGCGUUCGAAAAUUUAAUUUAGAGCCAUCAGAUACAUCGAUCUCUGUCGUGAAGCACGAGGCCAUGCUGCCAAAUUCCACCAAUAUCCAUCCGAUCGGCAGUGAGUUGCUGACCUUUCACUUUCAGGCAUGGACGCAUGGUUAGUGGAGAGGCAAGUUGGAAGGAGGACCUUGUUCCUAAAGCGCACACACAUGAAUCACACCCCAUAGUUCCUAUGCUCUGAAUUCACAGGACGCGCAUGAUUUUUUUUUUUUUUUAUCGUUGCUUUUGCGAUUGGUGGUUUGGGGGCGUUUUGCCGAUUUUCUGUUCUUAUUCCAGCCUACCGGAAGUUCAGACGAACUGACCACUCAAAUAAGAGGCUCCUGUUCCAAGAAAAGUCCAUGAAACUAUCCUGACUCCAUUAAUUUUUCAAAGGGACACAAACAAAGGCUAGAACGCAUGCCGGGGGAAAAUAAGGACCAAUUUGGUCCUGCAUGUACGGGGAACUUUCCCUGAUUCCUGUAGGAAUUCAACUAUUUUGUAUAGAAUUCACGCGUUUCAAACGGACCCUACACAAAAUCCAUGUUGACAAGUCUAGAGAGCUUCUACCAUGCAUGAAAAAUCAGACAAGUGAGUAGUGGCGAACGCAGGGCAGACGAGUAGGAGGCUCCUCCACUACUUUCUCUCUUUUUCUUUUCCUCUUUUUUUUUUCUUCCUCUCCUUAAUCUAUUGGAACGCGGAUCCCCUAACGUCGUGCAGUUACAGUGAUAUCGAUGUGACGGGAUCCGGAGAAUGGGUGCCCCUUAAGGCUCUGUUUGUUUCGGAUUGUAAAAGUUGGAUUGCGAUCAAAAUCUAAAAACUGAAACAAACAGCUGAAUUGUAAAAGUUGGAUUGUGAUCAUAAUCCAAAAGCUGAAACAAAUAGCUGGUUAGAAAAGCUGGAUUGUUACAAUCCAACACCCAGAUUAUAACAAUCCAGCAAUCCGUCUUCCACCAGAUUGUAACAAUCCACAAUCCAGCUUUUAUCAUCCAGAUUUUACAAUCCAGCUUUUUACAAUCCAUAAUCUACAAGCUACUUUUCACAAUCCAUAAUCUACAAGCUACUUUUCACAAUCUCCAGCUGAAACAAACAAACCUAAUCUGCCUCUUGCUGUGCGCAUGAAAAGAAAAAAAAAUUGCACACAGGUUUUACAAACAGUCGCUGGCAGGUGGGCCCAUCGAGUCAUACUGUCAAACACUGUCCCUUUCAUCCGUGCACAAAGCGACAGCCAUGUGAACUGUAAAGGCUAACCGCCGGUCUGGACUGUGGGCAACUACCGUCCCCGUCCCGGUCUAUAAAAUGCUAUCCACUCCUUCCAAUGCUGCAAGCCGCAGGAGAAGAGAUCAGAAUUCAGAAGACAAGAAACCCCUGUCCCUCCCCUAACCUUCGUCACAAGCCAGCCAGCCAGCUAGAGCUUGAUUAGAAGAAGAUGUAUAACGCUCCGAUGGCGCAGGAGAUGUCCUACUUCGAACAUGUGCAGAGGCGCCAUGAGGAGAAGGGCUGCCUCUAUGCAUGCAUCUUCACCGCGCUGUGCUGCUUCUGCUGCUACGAGACCUGCGAGUGUUGCCUCGACUGCCUCUGCUGUUGCUGCAACUAGGUCGAGCAUCAACAGAGAAGGAGAUGAAAAUGGAGAUCGGACUCCAUCCCUUACCGGAGAUUAUUCAGUAGCUUCCCCCCUUUAAUUUGGUUGUGCAGAAAUAAUAAGCAUGUAGUAGAAGAAGAGAGCUUCGUCAGUUUGAGCAUUUGUGUUUCUGAACAAGACUAUUAUUGUGUGGUAACUAUGGUAUGAAUUGCUGCAGCAUAUUAGCAUC